rnacentral:misc_RNA from 1 species
CCGAGUUUACAACUCCCAACCCCUGUGAACAUACCUGUUUUGUUGCUUCGGCGGUGCCCUCGCUCUCGUGGCGAGGCCCGCCAGAGGACCCAAACAAACUCUUUGAUUUUGAUCUAGGAUUUGACUUCUGAGUGAUAUACAAAAUAAAUCA